rnacentral:rRNA from 1 species
UGAGCAAUCUGCCCUUCUCUUCGGAAUAAGCGUGGGAAACCGCGUCUAAUGCCGAAUACGACCUCCUUUCGCAUGAUCGGAGGUGGAAAGCUCCGGCGGAGAAGGAUGAGCUCGCGGCCUAUCAGCUAGUUGGUGUGGGUAAUGGCCCACCAAGGCGACGACGGGUAGCCGGCCUGAGAGGGUGACCGGCCACACUGGGACUGAGACACGGCCCAGACCUCCGUACGGGAGNAGCG